UACAGAGGGUGCGAGCGUUAAUCGGAAUUACUGGGCGUAAAGAGCUCGUAGGCGGCUUGUCGCGUCGACUGUGAAAACCCGUGGCUCAACCAUGUGGUCUGCAGUCGAUACGGGCAGGCUAGAAUUCGGUAGGGGAGACUGGAAUUCCUGGUGUAGCGGUGAAAUGCGCAGAUAUCAGGAGGAACACCGGUGGCGAAGGCGGGUCUCUGGGCCGAUAUUGACGCUGAGGAGCGAAAGCGUGGGGAGCGAACAGG
rnacentral:rRNA from 1 species